GAGUGUAUGUGUAAGAGAGAGAGAGAAAGAGAGGGAGUGAGAGAACGCGGAGUUUUGUUCACUUUCAUCCCCCGGUUGGCAGCAGGACCGUGCGCCUCUCUCUCUCUGUCUCCCCGCUCUCUGUGAGUCUUUCGCCGCAUGGAUUUUUGAUCUCGCCCGCUGCUCUCCUGGAGGGUCUCUCUCCGGCUCGGUUCACAUGGGACUUGUUGUUCCUGUUUUUUUCUGGAACAAAAGCCGCUCUCCGUGCCCCAUGUUCGGCUCCAGGGCUCCGUAGCUGAGGGCUCUUCGCCAUGGCCGAGCCGGGAGCAGUUUCCGACGCUUUGGCGGCUCCGCUGCUCGAGUUUAGCGCCGAGGCUGCGUCUCCCGGCCGGGAUGCGGCUCGGCGGGGCUUCCCGGGCCACGGCGCCGAGGGGCUCUUCUCCAACGGCGGCUGCAGGGAGCUCAGCAGCCCUGCGGUGGGCAGCCGGGGUCGAGACGCGUCCGCCGAAAGGAACCAGCCUAGCGGGAACCCACCCUGCGGGAUUAUGAAGGUCAUGGCAACAUACAUGGAUGGACAAGAUACAGCACAUGGACCGGAUGCAAGAGAAGGAGAGAUAAAAAGAGAGAGAGAGAAAGAGAGAUAGAGAAAGAGAGAGAAAAA
rnacentral:lncRNA from 1 species